rfam:Schistosoma mansoni strain Puerto Rico chromosome 5, complete genome
AUCCAGCCGACGAGUCCCAAAUAUGACGAAAUGCGCAUCCUGGAU